AUUGAACGCUGGCGGCACGCCUAACACAUGCAAGUCGAGCGGCAGCGCGAUAUGUAGCAAUACAUAUUGGCGGCGAGCGGCGGACGGGUGAGGAACACGUAGGAACCUACCCUCGAGUGGGGGAUAACCAAGGGAAACUUUGGCUAAUACCGCAUGAACUCGAGAGAGCAAAGCUGCCGCAAGGUGGCGCUCGAGGAGGGGCCUGCGUCCGAUUAGCUAGUUGGUGAGGUAAGAGCUCACCAAGGCGAUGAUCGGUAACUGGUCUGAGAGGACGACCAGUCACACUGGGACGGAGACACGGCCCAGACUCCUACGGGAGGCAGCAGUGGGGAAUAUUGGACAAUGGGGGCAACCCUGAUCCAGCGAUGCCGCGUGAGUGAAGAAGGCCUUCGGGUCGUAAAGCUCUUUAGGUUGGGAAGAAGGGUGAUGGAGGAAAUGCUAUCACUUUGACGGUACCGACAGAAUAAGCACCGGCAAACUCUGUGCCAGCAGCCGCCGUAACAC
rnacentral:rRNA from 1 species